rnacentral:rRNA from 1 species
UACGUAGGGUCCGAGCGUUGUCCGGAAUUACUGGGCGUAAAGAGCUCGUAGGCGGUUUGUCGCGUCGGCUGUGAAAUCCCGAGGCUCAACCUCGGGCCUGCAGUCGAUACGGGCAAACUAGAGUGUGGUAGGGGAGACUGGAAUUCCUGGUGUAGCGGUGAAAUGCGCAGAUAUCAGGAGGAACACCGGCGGCGAAGGCGGGUCUCUGGGCCAUAACUGACGCUGAGGAGCGAAAGCGUGGGGAGCGAACAGG